rnacentral:rRNA from 1 species
UACGGAUGGUGCAAGCGUUACUCGGAAUCACUGGGCGUAAAGGAUGCGUAGGCUGGAAAUCAAGUCGAGAGUGAAAUCCAACGGCUCAACCGUUGAACUGCUCUCGAAACUGGUUACCUAGAAUAUGGGAGAGGUAGAUGGAAUUAGUGGUGUAGGGGUAACAGCCGGAGAUAGCACUAGGAAUACCGAUUGCGAAGGCGAUCUACUGGAACAUUAUGGACGCGGAGGCAUGCACGCGUGGGGAGCACACAGGAGGCGAUAACACUGGAGUCC